GGCGGCAUAGCCAAGUGGUAAGGCAGUGGUCUGCAACACCAUUACCCCCAGUUCAAAUCUGGGUGCCGCCUCCA
rnacentral:tRNA from 1 species